UACAGAGGUCCCAAGCGUUGUUCGGAUUCACUGGGCGUAAAGGGUGCGUAGGUGGGCAGGUAAGUCAGUGGUGAAAUCUCUGAGCUUAACUCAGAAACUGCCGUUGAUACUAUCUGUCUUGAAUAUAGUGGAGGUGAGCGGAAUAUGUCAUGUAGCGGUGAAAUGCUUAGAUAUGACAUAGAACACCCAUUGCGAAGGCAGCUCGCUACACUAUCAUUGACACUGAGGCACGAAAGCGUGGGGAAUCAAACAGGG
rnacentral:rRNA from 1 species